rnacentral:lncRNA from 10 species
CGGACACACGCAAUGUUGGGGAACUGGGACCCAGGGAGAGGGGAGGCUUGUGAGAAGGAACCCACGUGCAGAUGAGGGGAGCUGCAGAGAGGGGCCUCGGACCUUCCUGUUGAGGAAAGCCCAGUCUUUAGUGGUCUCGGCAAAUUAAAGGAUUGGCCCCGAGUGGAGAGCAGCAUAUCCCCAAAACUCAUUUCUAUCAGCCCUGUUUGUUUUACACUCCACCAGGCAAAUCUUCUGUCCACGGGAUUCUUUUUAAUGCUUCUCUUUAAGCAGCGUGGUGGGGAGGCCAUGGCGAUCAUUAGCUCUGGAGGCCUGGGGAGGACACUCUGAAGAAGAAAGCCCUGCGAUUAUCCGGUUUCACCCUGUUUUCAUCUACUCUUUGCCUCAGCGAAGUUUAUAUUGGGUCCUCUAUGUUACAUCACAGCUGCUGCACUGGCGGAUUAAGAGCCGCUGACAAGUCUCUUUCGGGAAGGGGUAAGAAGCGCAGCUGGCCCAGAGCCAUGGAGAGAGACGCAAGAGCAGAACCGAAAAUACUUUCCUCCUUCUUGUUCUCUCUCUGCUAUUGGUGAACAUCAACCUUCCACACAAACCGGUUCAAUACUGCCUUGGUCUCUACAGGAGGUUUACCAAUUUUUACAGUUCCCGCACAGAGGAAAGGCUAUGGGAGCACAAAGCAAGAAAGUGGACUUCUGCAAGCCAGGAAGAAAGGCCUCCCCAGAAACCAACUCUGUGAGCACAUCGAUCUUUGACUUUUGGCCUCCAGAAUAUUGAGAAAAUAAAAGUCUGUUGUUAAGCCACCCAACCUAUGGUAUCUUUCUAUGGCAGCCUGAG